UACGGAGGGUGCAAGCGUUAAUCGGAAUUACUGGGCGUAAAGCGUGCGCAGGCGGUUUGUUAAGACAGAUGUGAAAUCCCCGGGCUUAACCUGGGAACUGCAUUUGUGACUGGCAAGCUAGAGUAUGGCAGAGGGGGGUAGAAUUCCACGUGUAGCAGUGAAAUGCGUAGAGAUGUGGAGGAAUACCGAUGGCGAAGGCAGCACCCUGGGCCAAGACUGACGCUCAUGCACGAAAGCGUGGGGAGCAAACAGG
rnacentral:rRNA from 1 species